AUGGGCAAAGGAGAUCCGAAGAAGCCGAGAGGCAAAAUGUCAUCAUAUGCAUUCUUUGUGCAAACUUGCCAAGAGGAGCACAAGAAGAAGCACCCAGAUGGCUUCAGUCAACUUCUCAGAGUUUUCUAAGAAGUGCUCAGAAAGGUGGAACACCAUGUCUGCUAAAGAGAAAGGAAAAUUUGAAGACAUGGCAAAGGCGGACAAGACCCGUUAUGAAAGAGAAAUGAAAACUUAUAUCCCCCCUAAAGGGGAAACAAAAAAGAAGUUCAAGGAUCCCAAUGCACCCUCCUUUGGCCUUUUUCUUGUUUUGUUCUGAGUAUCGCCCAAAAAUCAAAGGAGAACAUCCCGGCCUAUCCAUUGGUGAUGUUGCAAAGAAACUGGGAGAGAUGUGGAAUAACACUGCUACAGAUGACAAGCAGCCUUAUGAAAAGAAGGCUGCUCAGCUGAAGGAAAAAUAUGAAAAGGAUAUUGCUGCAUACCGAGCUAAAGGAAAGCCUGAUGCGGCAAAAAAGGGAGUUGUCAAGGCUGAAAAGAGCAAGAAAAGGAAGAAGGGGCACCUGGGUGGCUCAAAGGAAGAGGAGGAAGAUGAAGAUGAAGAAGAGGAGGAGGAGGAUGAGAAGAUGAAGAAGAAGAUGAUGAUGAAUAAGUUGGUUCUAGCACAGUUUUUUUUUCUUGUCUAUAAAGCAUUUAACCCCCCUGUACACAACUCACUCCUUUUAAAGAAAAAAAUUGAAAUGUAAGGCUGUGUAAGAUUUGUUUUUAAACUGUACAGUGUCUUUCUUUGUAUAGUUAACACACUACCGAAUGUGUCUUUAGAUAGCCCUGUCCUGGUGGUAUUUUCAGUAGCCACUAACCUUGCCUGGUGCAGUAUGGGGGUUGUAAAUUGGCAUGGAAAUUUAAAGCAGGUUCUUGUUGGUGCACAGCACAAAUUAGUUAUAUAUGGGGAUGGUAGUUUUUCAUCUUCAGUUGUCUCUGAUGCAGCUUCUACGAAAUAAUUAUUGUUCUGUUAACUGAAUACCACUCUGUAAUUGCAAAAAAAAAAAAAAAAAAGUUGCAGCUCUUUUGUUGACAUUCUGAAUGCUUCUAAGUAAAUACAAUUUUUUUUUAUUAGAAAAAAAACCAAAACAGUGAACUGGGCCAGGGUGGCUCAGUCGUUGGGUGUCUGCCUUCGGCUGGGGUCGUGAUCCCGGAGUCCUGGAUUCGAGCCCAGCAUAGGGCUCCUUGCUCCGGGGGAGGCCUGCUUCUCCCUCUCCCACUCCCCCUGCUUGUGUUCCCUUUCUCGCUGUCUCUCUCUUUGUCAAAUAAAUAAAUAAAAUCUUUAAAAAAAAAUAUAUUGAACUGAAUGAAAAUGAAACUAUAGCAUAUCAGAAAAUAACAGGUAAUUCAGGUACAGAGAGGGAAAUGUAUAGCAUUAAAUGCCUACAAUAGAAUAGAAGUCUCAAAGCAAGAAUCUUAGCUCCCACCUCAGAAACCCAAAGCAAAUAGAAGAAAUAAUAAAGGUAAGAGCAGAAAUCAGUGAAAUUGAAAACAGGAAAAUUAUGAUAGAGAAAAUGAAUGAAACACUGUGUUUUUUCAAGGUCAUUAAAACUGAGAAACCUCUGUCAAGAUUGACCAAAGAGAGAAGGCAGAGAUUACCUUACCAGUAUCAGAAACAAAACAGAACAUAAAACUACAGAUCUUGCAGACAUCAAAGGAACAAUACAUAAAUAUAAUAAAUCACAUAAAAUGGACAAAAAAACACAGACUACUACAACUCACCUAAUGUGAGAUAGAUUAUUAUUUUUUUUUAAUUUGACUCUUUUUUUUUUUUUAAGGUUUUAUUUAUUUGUCAGAGAGAGAGAAUGAGCACAAGCAGGGGGAGCGGCAGGCAGGGGAAGAAGCAAACUCCCUUCUGAGCAGGGAGCCCGAUGCGGUACUUGAUUCCAGGACCCUGGGAUCAUGACCUGAGCCAAAGGCAGACGCUUAGCCAACUGAGCCACCCAGGUGUCCCUGAGAUAGAUUAUUUGAAUAGUCCUAUAUAAUUAUGAAGGAAAUUUGAAUUCAUAAUUUUAAAAUUCCCUAAAAGGAAAUCUCUCUGUCCAGAUGGUUUCACUGGAGAAUUCUACCAAACAUACAAUCACUCAUUCAUUUCUUUUUUUCAAACAUUUAAAGAAAGAAUGAACACCAAUUCUACAACAUCUUUUCCAAAAAAAAAAAGAAGAAAUGGGACAUUUCCCUAUUUAUUUUAUGAAGCUUAUAUUACACUGAUAACCAAAACCAAAGAAAGUACCAAAAAAAAGUACAGACUGAUACCUCUUAUUAUGUAUAAGCAGAAUUCCUUAACAGAGUAUCAACAAAUAGAAUUUCAACAAUAUAUGAAAUCAUACCCAUGUACAUACAUAAAGUAUAUAUAUCAUGGCCAAAUGGAAUUUAUUCCAGGGAUGCAAGGCUGGUUCAGUAUUUGAAAACCAGUCGAUAUAUUGGGCGCCUGGGUGGCUCAGUCGUUAAACGUCUGCCUUCGGCUCAGGUCAUGAUCCCAGGGUCCUGGGAUCGAGUCCCACAUCGGGCUCCCUGCUCAGCGGGAAGCCUGCUUCUCCCUCUCCCACUCCCCCUGCUUGUAUUCCUGCUCUCGCUGUCUCUCUCUGUCAAAUAAAUAAAUAAAAUCUUUAAAAAAAAAAAAAAGAAAGAAAAAACCAGUCGAUAUAAUCUCCAUUUUAAUUAGGUGAAGAAAUAAAACCACAUUGUAGCAAUUAAUGCAGAAAAAGCAUUUGACAAAAUUUAACACCUGUACAUGUUUUAAAACUUAAAAAAAAAGGAAUUGAAGAAUACUUCCUCAGCUCGUUAGAAAGCAUCUACAAGGGUGCCUGGGUGGCUCAGUCGUUGAGCGUCUGCCUUUGGCUCAGGUCAUGAUUCCAAGGUCCUGGGAUAGAGUCCUGCAUCAGGCUCCCUGCUCCGUGGGAAGCCUGCUUCUCCCUCUCCCGCUCCCCUUGCUUGUGUUUCCUCUCUGGCUGUCUCUCUCCCUGUCAAAUAAAUAAAAUAUAUAUAUUUUUUAAAUCUACAAAACAACCCACAGCUAACAUUACACUUAUGAUGAAAGGCUAAAUGCUUUUAGUCCUUGAUUGGGAACAAGGCAAGGAUGUCUGCUCUCACCAUUUAAGAUAUUGGUGGGAAGUUCUAGUUAGUGCAAUAAAGCAGGAAAGGGAAAUAAAGGCAGACAACUCAGAAAGGAAGAAAUAAAACUUUUUAUUUGUGACUGACAUGAUUGUCUCUAGGAAAUCCCAAGGAAUUUACACACACACACACACACACAAACUAGUUAAUAAAUGAGUUCAAGAAAAUUACAGGAUACAGGGUGCUUGGGUGGCUCAGUCGUUAAGUUUCUGCCUUUGGCUCAGGUCAUGAUCCCAGGGUCCUGAGACUGAGCCCCACAUCGGGCUCCUUGCUCCGUGGGAAACCUGCUUCUCCCUCUCCCACUCCCUCUGCUUGUGUUCCCUCUCUCAGUGUGUCUCUUUCUGUCAAAUAAAUAAAAUCUUAAAAAAAAAAAAUUACAGGAUACAAGACAAAUAUAUAAAAAUCUAUUAUAUAUAUGGGGCUCCUGGCUGGCUCAGUCAGUAGAGCAUGUGACUCUUGAUCUCAGAGUUGUGAGUUUGAGCCCCAUGUUGGGCACAGAGUUUACUUUUUAAAAAAAUCUAUUUGUGUAUAUAGCAAUGAACACCAAAAUUUAAAAUACAAUGCCAUCUAUAAUCUCACAAAAAGAAAAUGAAAUACCUAGGUAUAAAUCUAAAAAUAACAUACAGAACAGGACAUAUAUGCUAAAAACUGCAAAAUGCUAAUGAAAUAAAGAUAUAAAUAAAUGAAGAGAUAUACAAUGUUCAUUGUUUGGAGUACUCAAUCUAAUAAAGAUGUCACUUCUUCACAGAUUGAUAAAGAGGUUUAAUCCAAUACCUAUCAAAGUUCCAGUAAGAUUUUUUGGUAGGUAUCUGACAGUAUUGUUAUAAAAUAUAGAUAGAGGGGCAGAGGACCUGGAAUAGCUAAAACAAUUUUGAAAAAGAAUAAAGUAGGGGAAUCACUCUUUGAUUUCAAGCCUUAACGUAGACUGUGUGAUAUCAGUAAAGGAAUAGAUACUUAACAGCAGUGGGACAGAAUAGAGAAACAAUAAAUAGACCCACGCAGAUAUGCCCAAAUAAUUUAACAGAGGUGCAGAAACAACUUAUAGAGGAAGAUAAGCAUUUCAGUUAAAUGGUGCUCCAGCAAUUGGACAUUCAUAGACAAAAUAAAUGAACCGAGUCUCACAUCUUAUACAAAAACUAAAAACAGAUCAUGGAGUUAAAUGUAAAACAUUUAGCUAUUUAUCUUUUGGGGGGGGGGAGGAGAAAGUCUUCAGGAUGUAGUGAUAGACAUGCUUGUCACUAAAAGCAUGAUCCAUAAAAGGAAAAAUUGAUAAGUUUGCCUUUUCAAACUUUUGCUCUAUGAAUGAGCCUGGUAAAAAGAUGAAAAUGCAGGCUACAGACUGGGAGAAAAUACUUGUAAACCAAAUACCAACAAAGGACUAGUAUCUAGAAUAAAAAACUCGCAAAACUCAAUAGUUUAAAAAAAAAAUCAGUCCAAUUAGAAAACGGGCAAAAGACAUGACCAGAGAUUUCAUCAAAAAGGACAUAUAAGAGGCAUAUAAGCACUCGAAAAGAUACUCAACAUCAACCAGCUGUUAGGAAAAUGCAACUUAAGACCUCUAUGAGAUAUCACUAUACGUCCGUCAGAAUGGUUAAAAUUUAAAAAAGUGACAACACCAAAUGCUGGCAAGGAUAUGGAGAAACAGAUCACUCAUACAUUGCUGGUGGGAAUGUAAAAUGAUAGGGCCACUCUAGAAACAGUUUGACAGUUUCUUUAAAAACUGUACAUUCAGGGACACCUAACUGGCUCAGUCAGUAGCGCAUGCAACUCUUGACCUCAGGGUCAUGAGUUCAGGCCCCACAUUUGGGGUGGAGUUUACAUAAUAAAUAAAAUGUUAAAAAAAAAAAAAAGGAAAGAGAGAAACUAGACAUUCACCUACCAUGCUACCUAGCAGUUGCACAUCUGAGCAUUUAUCCCAGAGAAACAAAGAUUUCUGUUUACCCAGAAACCAGUACACAGAUGUUCAUAGCAUCUUUAUUCACAAUAUGGCCAAACAGUGAAAACAACCUAGAUGUCCUUCUACGGAUGAAUAGUUCGACAAAGUUACAUAGUACAUCCACACUACAGAAUACUACUCAACAGUAAAAAGGGAUGAACUAUUGAUACAUGCAACAACCUAGAUGAGUCUCCAGAAAACUAUGCUUAGUGAAUAAAGUCAAACCCAAAAGAUUGCAUACCAUAUGGUUCUAUUUGUGACUUUCUUGAAAUGACAAAAUUAGAGAAAUGGAGAACAGGUUAGUCAUGGCCAGGUUUAAGAGGGGGUGUCAGGGUGGAAGGAAAGUGGGUAUGUUUAUAAAAAGACCAACACGAGGGAUCCUUAUAAUGAAAUGUUCUGUAUCACUUAUCAACAUUUUGAUUGUAACAAUGUGCUAUACGUUUCCAAGAUACUACCAUUAGAGGAAACCAGGUAAAGGUUACACAAGAUCUCUCUGUAUUCUUUCUUAAACCUGCAUGUGAAUCUAUAGUUACCUCAGAAAGUUUGAUCAGAACACAAUAAUAAUAAUAACCACACACAAACAACUUUAAAGUUAACCUGUUGUUAAAAAUCACAGUGGCAAUUUUUUUUUUAAUUAAAGAUUAAGAAGCCUCACAGUUGUAUUAUAAUAAAAUACCAGUGUGAGAAUAUGGAGCAUAGUUAUAAAAGCUUAAGUGAUAUUUUUUGAAUUUCCAAAAACACAAUUUCUUUUUCAAAAUAUUAAGUUACUAAUUUUUUAAGUAUGGCUCUUUGGUGAGUCUCUGUCACAUUUUUGCACAAAGCAAAUUUUUUUUUUUUUUACAACAACCAGGUUUUUCCAUGCUGAAUAUUAUGUUUUAGCUUAUGCCUAACAAAUAAUAAAGUCAUUGUUGAGAUUUUUAUUAUGCAUACAUAGACUUUCUUAGUAAGAUUGUUCAGAAGUAACUGAAGAAAAUUAUACUAAUAUUCAUAAAAGAGACAGCUGAGCUAUAUAGAAUAAGAAAGACCUGGUUGGAAGAUAAUAAUGAGUUUUAUGUGGAGCAAAGUAACUAAGGGAAGAACUCCAAAAUUGGGCAAAACAUUAGAUGUUUUGCACUUUCAUAAAUAAUCUAGUAUUUUUUUUUAAACAAACUGACUUCAUUCAUGACCUUUUCUGCAUGUCAGACGUUAAAACCCAAUUAAGUACAUCAUUAAGUAAAGAGAAUUUAUAGAACAGUAUAUGUUUAUGCAUUUUUCUACAUCACCCAUAUUAAAGCAUUUUGGUCAGUUCACAGUAAGGUUGGUGGUGCUAUUUUAAAUCAAUUUAAAUAGUUGUCACCACUUAAAAAAGUAAAAAGGUAAAUCCAUAUAUCUACCAUCUGUCAUCUGGCUUCAGAAGUUAUCACCAUUUUGACGAUGUUUUUUAUUAUGUCCUCUUUUUUUUUUAAAGGAAAUUCCAGAAAUAUUUUACCUAUAAAUAUUUCAGUGGCAAUAAUUUAAAAAACAUACAACCAUGAUACAUCGUCCUAUACUGUACUCACCUUUGUGAUGAUGUGAGACAGUACAAUGCCUGUGUUAUAAGAUGAAAUGAGGUGCAUGACGUAGGCAUUGUGGUGUAGCGUUAGGCUGCUCUUGACCUAACUGUACAUCAGAAGGAGGAUCAUCUGCUUCUGGAGCAUGGUUGACCGAGGGUAAUAGAAACCAUGGAAAGCAGAACCAUGGAUAAGGGGGACUACUGUAUGUGAAAAAAUAGAAUGAUUUAUACAGAGCCAGUGUCCUGAUCAUGGACCAUUUGACUAAAAGUUCUUUUUAGAAAUUUAAACCUAGGGGCACCUGGGUGGACCAGUCGGUUAAGCAUCUGCCUUUGGCUCAGGUCAUGAUCCCAGUGUCCUGGGAUUGAGCCCUGCAGCGGGCUCCUUGCCCAGCUGGGAGUCUGCUGCUCCCCCUGCUUGUGCGCACACGUGCUCACUUUCUCCCUCUCUCUGACAAAUAAAUGGAAUCUUAAAAAAAAAAAUUUUUUUUAAACUACAUCAUUAUUCAUUAAGGUUAAACCUGAUGGAGUGAUGAUUCCUUUCUGUUUAUUAACUAGACCUGUUGCCUUUUGCUGUUAUGCUGCAAUCUAUUUUUAUAUUUUAAUCAAGAUCUAGUUACUAUAGUGCCAAAUAGAGACCAUGAAGUUUUUAACUCUUAUACUUCCCUGGAAGAGAUUGGUUAAUUUGCAGCAUCAGAUGACAGCAUUUUUCCAACAUUAGUUGUGUUGUUGCUGGAAGUAAGUUUACUAUUAGUCCAUGGAUUUACUACUCAGUUAAAUGAUUUCAUCUAUGAAGGAUCUUUUGAGGGGAAGAACAGCCAAACUGGUGUUAGAGAAAAAUGCAUAGGAUAGCUCCCCACAACAAAGAAUUGUCUGGUGUAAAUAUCAGUAGUAUCGAGGUUGAAAAACACUGAGCCAGAAUAACAGGAUACAGUUAAAAUCAGUGAAGUGAAGCACGAACAACUCUGUGUCAUACAUGAAUCCUCUUUAUUCAUUUAGAAGUAGGUGGGAUGGUGUAUGAUGAUCUUCAAAAUGCUUUAUUUCAGAGGGCCUGGGUGGCUCAGUCGGUUAAGCGUCUGCCUUCUUGUCCUUCUACCCCUUCCCCCACCAAUCAUGCUCUUUCUCGCUUGUGCUCUCUCUCUCAAAUAAAUCUUCUUUAAAAAUGCUUUAUUUCAGAAGCUCCUGGGUGGCUUAGUUGAUUAAGUAUCUGACUCUUGAUUUCAACUCAGGUCAUGAUCUCAGGGUGGUGAGAUUGAGGCCCCUCUCCCCCCCGGCCCCAAUCAGGCUCCAGGCUCAGUGCAGAGUCUGCUUGAGAUUCUCUCUCUCCCUCUGCUCCCCUCACCCCCGUGUGCACACGCUCACUUUUGCUCGCUCACUCUAAAAUAAAAUCUUUUUUAAAAAGUGCUUUAUUUCAGUGACAGUCUGGGGAGAGAGUGAGGACAGAGUGCUAUUAGAAAGUGACACCACUUCUGCUUCUGUUUGAUGGGCUCUCUCUGACCUUUGACCACUAAUACCAUCAUUCAGCACUGCUCUACUUAAAAUACUUGAACUUUAUUUUUUCCUUAACUCCACCCUCUCCGAUACCAACUGUUUUGCUCUUACCUGAAUUUAUGCUGCUGAUCUUCAGCUGGGAUCUUAAAUUUAAAAUGAUACCAAGACUGUACUUUCAAAUAUUAUUUUUGGGGGGCACCUGGAUGGCUCAGUCAGUUAAGCAUCUGACUCUUGAUUUCAGCCCAGGUCAUGAUCUCAGGGUUGUGAGAUUGAGUCCCACAUCAGGCUCCAUACUGGGCAUGAGCCUGCCUGGGAUUCUCGCUCUCCCUUUCCCUCUGCCCCUC